rnacentral:lncRNA from 1 species
AUUUGCAUUAAAUAUGGUAGGGUUUGAUGAGAGUUUGGCGUACUUAUUUUGUUAUACUUGAAAUAUUGUGAUUACUUGUCAAUGUUGUCAGAGAUUUUAUGCAAAACCGCAUAGUAAUGGAUAGUAACUAAAACAUUUAUUAUCAUAUUCACUCCAUGGAUUGUUUUUAUUUUAACAGUAACAUGCCAUUCAACUUGCAACAUUGUAGGUACGACUAAGAUAAAAAAUCUCCACGAUAAUAUUGGUUCCGUGAAAGUGAAGCUUACAAAAGAUGAUUUAAAAGAGAUCUCUGAUGCAGUCCCCAUCGAUGAAGUGGCAGGGUCAAAAUCUGACAGCGCUAUUGGUCGGGUCAAUGCGCAAUUUGCCGAUACCCCACCCCCAAAAUGAACAUUGCAAGAUUGUUGAUAAAUCUUUGUAUGUUAUGUUUUCAAAUGUGGGCGUCUGAUAUUUGUAACAAUUUUGUCGUAGACAUAUUGCUACUACUCUUGGUUCAAUAAUGCAAGUAAUGUUUCUCUUCAGUCACUAGGGUUGUAUCAUGAACUAUGAAUUAUCGAUAAAUUAUUAGUAAUUUUUUUUUUAAAGAAUAGUUGGUAGAUAAUUCAGUCAGGCGUGGAUUGCAUAUUUUGGCAUGAUAUAUUACACUUUUGUGUCUAUUUAUAUAUUUGUAAUUAAGGCCAUAUGAUCAAUAAAAAAUCUUUAAACAAGUUCUUCAUAAAUUUUCUCCCGAAUAUGGGUAUUUCA